GUCGUUGAUUGUAUCACAAGGAGGCAUUCAUUCGUUCCGUUUCAGUGGGCAGGCGGUGCGUUACAGUUUCUGACCGAUGCCCCGGGUCGUGUUUUCCGGGAGACGUCCCCGAAGGACAGCUCUCCCCCCGGAGGUGCGAAAGCCCUCGCAGCCCGUCUCCGUAGAAUUGAAACACGUUCGCGGGUCGUUUGCUAUGCAGGCAUCGACACCUUCCGUAGGGUGACUGCGGAAGGAUCAUGUCGAUGCCUGCAUAGCAGAACGACCCGCGAACGUGUUUUCAAUUCUAACGGGAGACGGGGCCUGCGAGGGCUUCGCACCUCCCGCGGGAGAGCUGUCCCCUCGCGGGACGUCUCCCCCGAGAACAACGAACCCCGGCGCAAUCCGCGUCAAGGAAACUGUACAAGCGACCCCGCCGUGCCCGCACCGGAGACGGCGAGCGGACAUGGCAUGCGUCGUCAUGUGAUCACAAUCACAACGACUCUCGGCAACGGAUAUCUCGGCUCUCGCAUCGAUGAAGAACGUAGCGAAAUGCGAUACUUGGUGUGAAUUGCAGAAUCCCGUGAACCAUCGAGUCUUUGAACGCAAGUUGCGCCCGAAGCCUUCUGGCCGAGGGCACGCCUGCCUGGGCGUCACGCAAUGUCGCCCCCCCAAGCCUCAUGCCCUCGUCGGCAGAGCUUCGGGGAGCGGACAUUGGUCUCCCGUGCGACCCUGCGCGCGGUUGGCCUAAAGGCGAGUCCCCGGCGUCCGUUGAUGCGACACACGGUGGUUGAGAUGCUCGGCAUGCCGUCGCCUCAUCGGUGCGUCUCUAGAUGGCUCAGCGACCCCAACUUACCGACGCGACCCCAGGUCAGGGCGGGAUUACCCGCUGAGUUUAAAGCAUAUCAAUAAGCGGGAGGAA
rnacentral:rRNA from 1 species